rnacentral:rRNA from 1 species
CCAGCAGCCGCGGUAAUACGUAGGUGGCAAGCGUUGUCCGGAAUUAUUGGGCGUAAAGCGCGCGCAGGUGGUUUCUUAAGUCUGAUGUGAAAGCCCACGGCUCAACCGUGGAGGGUCAUUGGAAACUGGGGAACUUGAGUGCAGAAGAGGAAAGUGGAAUUCCAAGUGUAGCGGUGAAAUGCGUAGAUAUUUGGAGGAACACCAGUGGCGAAGGCGACUUUCUGGUCUGUAACUGACACUGAGGCGCGAAAGCGUGGGGAGCAAACAGGAUUAGAUACCCUGGUAGUCCACCCCGUAAACGAUGAGUGCUAAGUGUUAGAGGGUUUCCGCCCUUUAGUGCUGCAGCUAACGCAUUAAGCACUCCGCCUGGGGAGUACGGUCGCAAGACUGAAACUCAAAGGAAUUGACGGGGGCCC